CUGUGUCAGGCGGCAGGACCUCAUUUGGGGCGAUGAAGGGGCAGAGAGCUAACGUAGGGACCUCAGCGUGACUGUGCCUUGCUCUGAGACACACUGAACUCCUGGGCCAUGGGCUUGAAACCAACAUGCAGAAAACCCACCAAGGCUAACUUAGAAAGAGCACUGGGUCUGACAUAAGAAGAAAUGAUGGAUAACAACAUUGGGCACCGAAACAAUCAGCACCAGAAUACGCUGAGCCUCAAAACCUCAUCAAAUGCAGCAUGCUUAGAACAUUCUACACAUCUGAAGCAGUGGCUCUUGGUGAGGCAGGAAGGCCUCUUUGAGGAAGCCCAGACUAAGCUGUUUGUAGCGCCCAGACCCAGUGUAGGAGCCCACAGGUAGCGUUCCCCAUCAGACACGUAUUUCUACUGAUCAUCAGGAUGCAUAGCAAGGCUUUCGAUUUACGAGAUAUAUCAGAUGGAAUUACUAAGUCAAACUAACUAAAUAAAUAGCAACAUCUGGUGAAUGCCAUACGGCUUAUCUUAAAUCAUUAUCGAACAGAAAUUAUAUAAUUAUUGUACAAGACAUUCAUGGAAAAUUUGCAAUCUGUAUCACUGUCAAUGAAAAAGUGUUAAAGGUGUGUGUAUAUG